GUGGAUUAGAUACCCUGGUAGUCCACACCGUAAACGUUGGGCGCUAGGUGUGGGAUCCAUUCCACGGGUUCCGUGCCGUAGCUAACGCAUUAAGCGCCCCGCCUGGGGAGUACGGCCGCAAGGCUAAAACUCAAAGGAAUUGACGGGGGCCCGCACAAGCGGCGGAGCAUGCGGAUUAAUUCGAUGCAACGCGAAGAACCUUACCUGGGUUUGACAUACGCCGGAAGCUCCCAGAGAUGGGGGUCUCUUUGAUACUGGUGUACAGGUGGUGCAUGGUUGUCGUCAACU
rnacentral:rRNA from 1 species